rnacentral:lncRNA from 1 species
CAUCCAUGAUAAACAACCAAGAUAAACAUUAAGUCCUAUGAAAAUAAACACAAACUAUCAGAGAAUAAACACAAACUCUAAAUAAUAAAUAAAAAUUAUAAAUAAUAAACAUAAACUCUAUAUAGGUAAACAGAAACUACAAAUAAUAAAUACAAACUCUAUGUCGAUAAAUAGAAACUUCUCAAGAUAAACAUAAACUCGUGAUUC